rnacentral:rRNA from 1 species
AACGCGAAGAACCUUACCAAGGUUUGACAUGCAGGGAAAAGCCGUAGAGAUAUGGUGUCCGUAAGGGUCCUGCACAGGUGGUGCAUGGCUGUCGUCAGCUCGUGUCGUGAGAUGUUGGGUUAAGUCCCGCAACGAGCGCAACCCUCGCCCUAUGUUGCCAGCGGGUCAUGCCGGGGACUCAUAGGAGACUGCCGGGGUCAACUCGGAGGAAGGUGGGGAUGACGUCAAGUCCUCAUGCCCCUUAUGUCUUGGGCUGCAAACAUGCUACAAUGGCCAGUACAAAGGGUUGCGAGACCGCAAGGUGGAGCGAAUCCCAAAAAGCUGGUCUCAGUUCGGAUUGGGGUCUGCAACUCGACCCCAUGAAGUCGGAGUCGCUAGUAAUCGCGAAUCAGCAACGUCGCGGUGAAUACGUUCCCGGGUCUUGUACACACCG